rnacentral:miRNA from 1 species
UGACAAGGAAGCAGAGCGGAU